UACGUAGGGCGCAAGCGUUGUCCGGAAUUAUUGGGCGUAAAGAGCUCGUAGGCGGUCUGUUACGUCUGCUGUGAAAACCCGGGGCUUAACCCCGGGCUUGCAGUGGAUACGGGCAGACUAGAGGCAGGUAGGGGAGAAUGGAAUUCCCGGUGUAGCGGUGAAAUGCGCAGAUAUCGGGAGGAACACCGGUGGCGAAGGCGGUUCUCUGGGCCUGACCUGACGCUGAGGAGCGAAAGCGUGGGGAGCGAACAGG
rnacentral:rRNA from 1 species